rnacentral:rRNA from 1 species
GCGGUGGAGCAUGUGGUUUAAUUCGAAGCAACGCGAAGAACCUUACCAGGUCUUGACAUACCAUUGACCGUUCUAGAGAUAGGAUUUUCCCUUCGGGGACAAUGGAUACAGGUGGUGCAUGGUUGUCGUCAGCUCGUGUCGUGAGAUGUUGGGUUAAGUCCCGCAACGAGCGCAACCCCUGUCGUUAGUUGCCAGCAUUCAGUUGGGGACUCUAACGAGACUGCCAGUGACAAACUGGAGGAAGGUGGGGAUGACGUCAAAUCAUCAUGCCCCUUAUGACCUGGGCUACACACGUGCUACAAUGGUUGGUACAAAGAGAAGCGAAGCGGUGACGUGGAGCAAACCUCAUAAAGCCAAUCUCAGUUCGGAUUGUAGGCUGCAACUCGCCUACAUGAAGUUGGAAUCGCUAGUAAUCGCGAAUCAGAAUGUCGCGGUGAAUACGUUCCCGGGUCUUGUACACACCGCCCGUCACACCACGAGAGUUUACAACACCCGAAGUCAGUGGCCUAACCGCAAGGAGGGAGCUGCCUAAGGUGGGGUAGAUGAUUGGGGUGAAGUCGUAACAAGGUAUCCCUACCGGAAGGUGCGGCUGGAUCACCUC